rnacentral:rRNA from 1 species
UGCAAUGAGAGUUGUGCUAAGGUAGCGCGAUAAUUAGUCUCUUAAUUGGAGAAUGGUAUGAAUGGUUUGACGUGGAAUAACUGUCUCUUGAAAAUAUAAUUAAGUUUCCAUUUGAGUGAAAAGGCUUAAAUUUUUGUAAAAGACGAGAAGACCCUGUCGAGCUUAAAUUAAAAAUUUUUUUAUUAAAAAAUUUUUAAUUUUUAUUGGGGCAAUAUAAAUUGAUUUAACAAUUUAUUUUAAAAUAAAAAUCCUUUAUGAAAGAAUAAAGCAAAAGCUACCGCAGGGAUAACAGCGUUAUCCUUUUUGGGAGAUCGAAUUGAGGAAAGGGUUUGCGACCUCGAUGUUGGAUUAUAA